UCUGACAGUGUUUAAUUCUGACUGUUUAAUUCUCCAAACCUCAACAGGCUCUGAAAAUAAGGAAAUCAUCUACAAAAUGGAACUUCAUGUGGGAAAAAACAUGCUUAGUCACAAAGGCAUUGUUGAUAUACAGACAAAAGCUUAAGGAGGAAAAUGAAAAUCUGAGAACUGUGAUGACAAAGCCAGGAGAUCGUCAGGCAUGAGAGAAAUUCCUCUGGUGCAUUGGAGGAGUUGGUCACAGAGGUAGGUA
rnacentral:lncRNA from 1 species